rnacentral:rRNA from 1 species
ACGUGAAACUGCUCAGAGGCAAACGGGUGGGCCCUCGAAAUCCAAUUGCGAGGGGAUUCAGUCGGCAGGUCGGGACUGGACGGACGUUUGUGCGAGGUACGCGUCUGACCGGCGGUAGACCUGGUGAGUCCGACGCAAUUCCUCUCGCACCGAGGACGCUGCAGCCGGUUCGGUAGCUACAAGUUCGGCCAAGAGGACUUGCGAUGGCAGGUGACCAGACCGCUUCGGCAGUCUGGUUGUUAGCCGGCUCGUCCGAGGCGCGACACCGGACCGAGGUGAGGGAACUCUUCAGUUCUCGCCGUGUCUUCGCUAACGAGCGGGACGCACGCGUCGGGGGCGUCGCCGUUGCGAGUGGUGCCACGGCUGACCGUGGCCCUCUCCCUCAGUCCCUCGAUCGACGCGGCAAUUCCCGCAGCGAUGCCCACGGCUGGCAGCGAGUAGGUCGGUCACCCACCCGACCCGUCUUGAAACACGGACCAAGGAGUCUAACAUGUGCGCGAGUCGCAGAGUCUUGAACAGGCUCUCGGGCGCAAUGAAAGUGAAGGCCGAUCCGGUCGGCCGUGUUGGGAAGUUCUCUCGGUAACGAGAGGGCCGCACCAACGACCUGUCCCGUCCGAUUUAUCGGUGGGGCGGAGUCAGAGCGUACACGUUGGGACCCGAAAGAUGGUGAACUAUGCCCGGGCAGGACGAAGCCAGAGGAAACUCUCGUGUAGAUCCCCACCGCUUCUCACAUGCAAAUCUAUCGUCACACAUGUG